rnacentral:rRNA from 1 species
UACGGAGGGUGCAAGCGUUAUCCGGAUUCACUGGGCGUAAAGGGUGCGUAGGCGGGUCUUUAAGUCAGGGGUGAAAUCCUGGAGCUCAACUCCAGAACUGCCUUUGAUACUGAAGAUCUUGAGUUCGGGAGAGGUGGGUGGAACUGCGAGUGUAGAGGUGAAAUUCGUAGAUAUUCGCAAGAACACCAGUGGCGAAGGCGGCUCACUGGCCCGAUACUGACGCUGAGGCACGAAAGCGUGGGGAGCAAACAGG